rnacentral:lncRNA from 1 species
AGAACGACCUUCCAGGCCUCUGGGAUGAGCGUGUCCCCAGAAUCUGCUCCGUUCAGCUUCAUCCAGGCCUUUGCCUCUGAAGGUGCUCACAGGUGAUGACUGAGUGGCUGGGGCAGGCACCCAUGUCGGGAUGGGAUGUCGCACCCGUGGACUCCAGGGGCCAGGAAGAGGAUCCUUCAGCGACCUGCCCGGGAGCCUGGAAGCUUCCACAGGGCAGGAGGGUGUGUUCUGCAAACUGUACCGUGCAACUGUGAGGGCAGCUACUGCCUGGCCCCCCGAAGGCCCCGAGGCUCCCGUGCUCCCCUUGCUCCGUCCAUAUCUUCCUGGCUUCCCUCCCACAGGCUCAAGGGCAAGAGUGUGCACCAUGUGGACACCAUGUCCACCCACUGGCCGUGGGUGCUCCGGCGUCUGGGGAGCGUCUCGGGUGCUCCGGGAGCCAUCACUCUCCAGUUUUCUCUGCAAAGGUUCAUGAUGAUGUGGCUGAGCUUAGAAAGAGACUUUCUUUUAUCUGCCCAAAAUGCUUGGACGUUUUCUGUCCCCUUCACUUCACUCCUGGAAAAGACAAGGCUCAGGACAAUCUGUGGGUGUCUCUCUUCUUCUGAAGCCAAGAGCCACUUUUGGGUUUUUUUGUUUGUUUGGAUGGAGUUUCGUUUUGUUGCCCAGGCUGGAGUGCAGUGGCGUGAUCUCGGCUCACUGCAACCUCCACCUCCCGGGUUCAAGCAAUUCUUCUGCCUCAGCCUCCUGAGUAGCUGGGAUUACAGGCAUGUGAGACCACGCCCGGCUAAUUUUUGUAUUUGUUUGUAGAGAUGAGGUCUCCCUAUGUUGCCCAGGCUGGUCUAGAACUUCUGAUCUCAAGCAGUCUGCCCGCCUCGGCCUCCUAAAGUGCUAGGAUUAUAGGUGUGAGCCAUCACGCCAGGUCAAGAGCCACUUUCUAAAGUAACCUUUGGACAUGCUGCCCCCCCUACCCAGGCCCUGGGUCCCCUCCCAGCUCCUGGGGCUCCUCCACCUUACAGGGCUCUCCUGAGGAGGCCUGGCCCACCCACCCCACUCCCUGCAUGGAUGGGCAGAGGCUCUCUCCCUGCCCACUCUGGGCCUUGCUGACACUGGGCCUUGCCUCCGUGUCCCAGGUGAGCCUGGCCUCUCUCUCCUGCUUUCAGAAUCACACACUAGCAGGUCCCAAGCUAGCAGCACAGAGCUCUUCCUUCUGCCUCAACACCACCCACCCUUCUCAGCAGAAGACCCAGCACAUCCUGCCCCUGCUCCUCCCACCGGGCUCCAGAGAGAGCUGCCCCAUGAUCCAUGCACACACCAGUGCCCAGGGUUCCACACCGCCAGGCGACAGCACGCUGGGUGCGGUGUCUGCUUGCUGUGCCUCCUGCCUCAGGACCUGGGCCCCCCAGACACCCAACUGCUCCCUCCCGGAGGCUUGGAAGCCAGCAAAGGAAGGGAUAACCAUCAUUUAUUCAUCCAUCCAUCCAUCUAUCCAAUCCAUCCAUUGUAUCCAUCCAUCCAUCCACCCACCCAUUCACCCAUCUGUCCAUCCAUCCACCCAUCCAUCCAUCCAUCCACCCAUCCAUCCACCCAUCCACCCACCCAUUCACCCACCCAUUCACCCAACCAUCCAUCCAUCCAUCCACCCACCCACCCAUUCAACCAUCCAUCCAUCCAUCUUUCCAUCCAUCUAUGUAUAUUUAUGUAUUUUAAGGAAUUUCCUCAUGCAAUUGUGGAGUCUGAAAUCUGCAAGGGAGGUGGCAGCCUGGAGACCUAAGGAGAGCUGCAGUUGGAGUCCCAGGGCCUCUGCUAGCAGAAUUCCUUCUUGCUUGGGGAGGUCCAUCUUGGUUUUCUUAAGACCUUCAACUGAUUGAAUGAGGCCCACCUGCAUUUUGGAGAGCCACCUGCUUCCCCAAAGUCCACUGAUUGAAAUGUUACUCUCAGCCAAAAAGCACCCUCCCAGAAACAUGAGAACCAGAAUUAGUGCUUGACCAAAUAUCUGGGCACCGUGGCCCAGCCAAGUUGACACAAUUACCCAUCACAAUGCUGGUGCCAGGGAAGGGAAGGAAAAGCUCUUCCCUGUGAGCUGGUGACCUGGGGUCCUGGGCUGGGAUAGCGCAACAGGAAGUAAAUGUCCCUCUCCAGAGACAGCCCCUCCUGUGUCUACAGAUGUCCUGAUGUAACAUGUCUUUUAAAAUGAGGGUUUGUUCAUGAAAUUCUUUUCUUAACCAAUAAAAUGGAUUAAAUAG